rnacentral:lncRNA from 1 species
GUGCCUAAUAGUAUAUGAAAAAGUGAUAGGAUGCCACUCCUAUGAUUACAUCACAUUAUAUAAAUCUUGCUAGUCGACUGCUUUAGAGCUUCUCCUUGCUGGUUCAAUGAAGUAAGCAACUAUGUUGAAAAAGUCCACAUGGCAAAGAACUGCUGGUGGCCUGUAAGACCUGAGGGCAGCCUCCAGCUGAAAACUGACAGGCAGAAAAAAGUCAGGGUCCUCAGUCCACAGCUACAGUGAAAUGAAUUCUGCAACCACCUGAUUGAGCUUGAAAUCUGAUGCUUUCCCAGCUAAGCCUCCAGAUGAAAAUGCAGCUCGGUUGAAACCCUGCAAAAAUGAGCAGAGAACCCAGCCAAGUUGUGACUGGAGACUCCUGACUUACGGACAAUAAGAGAGGAAAUGUCUUUUGAAAGCUUCACUGACGCCAAGCAGAUUUCUUCCAACAAUUUCUUGCUUCUUGUGAUGUUAGAAGAGCAAUUAUGUUCCUGUGAGCAGCUGAUGGAGGACAUUAUCAACAUGGAAGUACUUCUUUGUGAGAGAACUGUCAGCUUACGUUUAUAUUAAUAGAUAUUACCUUUGGACUAUAUCUGUGGGAAAAGAAAAGCUAUUUCAGUCCAAGCGAUUCUCCUGUGUCAGCCUCCCAACUAGCUGGGAUUACAGGUCUCCUUCUGAAGAGGGUGAAGAUCUCUACCCCGAAAUAUGGUCAAGACCUCAUAACAACACCAAGAAAUCCAGGGAAGAUUUAUUUUCCCACCUCUGUGUUGGCUCAAGAAGAAAAGAAUAGAUUUCAAUGGCAGCUAGUAUAAAUAUUAUCUAGAAAUAUAACCUAGUAAUUUUUUAAAAAAUACAAUCCAAUAUUACACAUUGGUUAUGGAUACAUAAAUAUGAUAGUGUUGAUGUUGAUAUUCCCACCCCUCCCCCCAUUUAUUCUAAUUUAUGACAGGCUGAUUUCCACAUUUUCCACCCUCAUCAUUCUACAUAACCUGUUCUUGCUAAGACCACCAAUAGUUCCCUACUUGGCAAAGCCAAUGCGUUCUUUCAGUCUUCUUUCUACUUAACCUCUCUUCAGCCAUUGGCAAUAUUAAUUAUUCCCUCUCUCUCUUCCUAAUUUCCAUGCCAUUACUUAUAUUCUACUACUCUGUUUGCCACUUUAUUAGAUUCUCUUCCUCCAUCCCUCCCAAAAAUGAUAGCCAUUCUCAGCCUCUAUCUGUACAUUCCCACUAAGUAAUUGGUUACAUUAUAGAGACACUAGGAUAACAGUUUUUAAAAACUCAGUGAAGGAGUACUCGCUUCCCUGUACCUCCUGGUUUCACUGUUAUAAUUGAAGUAACAAUACAAAACAGUUCACAGUUAAAGUACUGUCUGCAUGUAUAGGUUGGUACCAAAUAGGCAACAUAUGCAGCAUGAAAUAUGAAAACUAACAUGCCAAUUUCCACUGCCCCUUUUCUGUGUUCCUAACCUUUAACACUUCUAAACAUCUCUCCUUCAAAGAGCUUAGAUUUAGGACUUCCCAUAUCUUUUCUCUUUUCUGAUGUUGAAGUUCCCAUUUCCUAAACACCAGUCAUUGGCAAAAAGCACACAAUUAAACCUAUUAAAAGGCAAGUAAAUAUGUAGCUAAACCCAUUUACAGCAUAAGGAAUUUAGUUAAUAUGACCUCAGUUUACUCAGCAAAUGCAUUAUUUUAUUCUCUUUCUGAUUCACUAACUUGCAAUUUUUUGGAUUAUUUUUUCCUAAUUUUUAUACUUAGGAUUACUGUCUUUCUUAACAUAUUCUAACUCUGGUGAGGUGUUAACCUCAUCUUGACUGAGACCUAAGUCCACCAUUUCAAAUUCUGGCAGAAAAUUUUCAUUUAAAGUUACUCCAAAUCCAUACUCCCUGAGAUGGAGUAACUUUAAAAGAAAGUUACUCCACAGAAAGCCCACAUAUUGGCAAUCUUGGGCUUUUUUACCCAAGGAGAAAACAACUUGCCCUCAGCUUCUUAAUUUUCCUCUUUAAAAUCCAAAAGAUGUUAAAUAAAUUUCCAGCUUCUUCUUACCUCACCCCCACAACAGCAUUAGAUUACCUACCUCAAAGAACUUAUUCCUUUUUAAAGUUAUCAAACAUUUAUUUGGUAAAAUUUGGGCACCAAAUGCUUUGUACUUGGUGCCAGACUUACAGAAAUGCAGAAGACAUAGUAGAGAGUAUCAAAAAGGGUCACUUGGCAGAAGCUAUACAUAGAAAGAAAUGGCCUCUCAGAGGAGAUAAAGCAUCAGCUGAAUCUCUGAAUAAUAAACAGGCAUUAUAUUAGUUUAUAUGAAGAAGGGAUAGGAGAAUGCUUAGCAUGAAAGCAAGAGUACAUGCAAAGGCACAGAGACUUAAGAAGGCAUGAUGCCCUUAACUAAAGAUUUUAACUUACAGCUAAAGAGUGGUGCAAGUGUAAGGAAGAAAGUCAGAUAGGUAGGCAAAGGAAAGCUUACAAUACUCUCUGUAUAAUCUGAAAACAAAUGUGAAAUUUAUUCUGAAAGCACAGAAAACCUAAUGGACAAUUUGAGAAGAAAAGUAACAUGAUCAGAUUUGCAAAGAACUCUUGAGUGGCAGUGAUAAAGAUGAACUCAAUGGGGCAAUGAUAAUGAAAGCAAGCAAUUAAAAGGCA